rnacentral:rRNA from 1 species
CCUACGGGUGACAGCAGUGGGGAAUAUUGGACAAUGGGCGGAACCCUGAUCCAGCGACGCCGCGUGAGUGAAGAAGUAUUUCGGUAUGUUAAGCUCUAUCUGCCGGGAAGAAAAUGACGGUACCUGACUAAGAAGCCCCGGCUAACUACGUGCCAGCAUCCGCUGUAAUACGUCGGGGGCAAGCGUUAUCCGGAUUUACUGGGUGUAAAGGGGGCGUAGACGGGGCAGCAAGUCUGAUGUGAAAGGUCGGGGCCCAACCCCGGGACUGCAUUGGAAACGGUUGAACUGGAGUACAGGAGAGGUAAGCGGAAUUCCUAGUGUAGCGGUGAAAUGCGGAGAUAUUAGGCGGAACAGCAGUGGCGAAGGCGGCGUACUGGACUGUAACUGACGCUGAGGUUCGAAAGCGUGGGGAGCAAACAGGAUUAGAUACCCCAGUAGUC